AAUCAACGCUGGCGGCGUGCCUCAGACAUGCAAGUCGAACGAGAAAGUUUCCUUCGGGAGACGAGUACAGUGGCGUCCGGGUGAGUAACACGUGGGUAAUUUACCUUUGGGUGGGAAUAGCAGCCGGAAACGGCUAUUAAUACCGCAUAAUGCAGCGGCUCGACAUCGAGACAGUUGUUAAAGCGGGGAUCUGACAAGGACCUCGCGCCUAAAGAGAAGCCUGCGUCAGAUUAGCUAGUUGGUAGGGUAAUGGCCUACCAAGGCUGUGAUCUGUAGCCGGCCUGAGAGGGCGGUCGGCCACACUGACACUGACACACGGGUCAGACUCCUACGGGAGGCAGCAGUCGGGAAUUUUGGGCAAUGGGCGC
rnacentral:rRNA from 1 species